AUACGGGGCUUGAAGUCUUGUAAUUGGAAUGAUGGGAAUUUAAACCCCUUCCAGAGUAUCAAUUGGAGGGCAAGUCUGGUGCCAGCAGCCGCGGUAAUUCCAGCUCCAAUAGCGUAUAUUAAACUUGUUGCAGUUAAAAAGCUCGUAGUUGAAUUUCUGCUGCAUCGUGGUUCUUCGCUAUGUCGAGUGAUCUUCGUUGUGGCUUAGUUGGGGCAUGUUUUCAUGACUCGACGUUUACUUUGAGAAAAUUAGAGUGCUUCAAGCAGGCUUUUGCCUUGAAUACUUUAGCAUGGAAUAAUGGAGUAGGACUUUGGUUCUAUUUUGUUGGUUUUAGGAGCCGGAGUAAUGGUUAAUAGGAACAGUUGGGG
rnacentral:rRNA from 1 species